rnacentral:tRNA from 1 species
UCCCUGGUGGAGUAGUGGUUAGGCCACAGUGCUCUCACUGCUGCAGCCCAGGUUUGAUUCCUGACCAGGGAA